ACGGGUGAGUAAUGCAUCGGGAUCUACCCUGACGUGGGGGAUAACCUCGGGAAACCGGGACUAAUACCGCAUACGUCCUACGGGAGAAAGCGGGGGACCUUCGGGCCUCGCGCGGCAGGACGAACCGAUGUGCGAUUAGCUAGUUGGCGGGGUAAUGGCCCACCAAGGCGACGAUCGCUAGCUGGUCUGAGAGGAUGAUCAGCCACACUGGGACUGAGACACGGCCCAGACUCCUACGGGAGGCAGCAGUGGGGAAUAUUGGACAAUGGGCGCAAGCCUGAUCCAGCAAUGCCGCGUGUGUGAAGAAGGCCUUCGGGUUGUAAAGCACUUUUAUCAGGAGCGAAAUACUAGGGGUUAAUAACCCGUGGGGCUGACGGUACCUGAGGAAUAAGCACCGGCUAACUUCGUGCCAGCAGCCGCGGUAAUACGAAGGGUGCAAGCGUUAAUCGGAAUUACUGGGCGUAAAGGGUGCGUAGGCGGUUCGUUAAGUCUGUGGUGAAAUCCCCGGGCUCAACCUGGGAAUGGCAAUGGAUACUGGCGAGCUAGAGUGUGUCAGAGGAUGGCGGAAUUCCCGGUGUAGC
rnacentral:rRNA from 1 species